rnacentral:rRNA from 1 species
AGAAUCAACGCUGGCGGCGUGCCUAACACAUGCAAGUCGAACGAGAAAGUGGAGCAAUCCAUGAGUAAAGUGGCGACCGGGUGAGUAACACGUGACUAACCUACCUUCGAGUGGGGGAUAACCUCGGGAAACCGAGGCUAAUACCGCAUAACAUCGCAAGAUCAAAGCAGCAAUGCGCUGGAGAGGGGGUCGCGGCUGAUUAGCUAGUUGGCGGGUAACGCCCACAAGGCGAAGAUCGGUA